UGUAAAGGACACAAUAAAGAUUGAAUGAACAGCCAGAUGAAGAGAUACAGAGGGUGAGGUCCAGAAGAGUCCUGAGUACAGGGGUUCUGUGCCCGUCGAGUGGCAACAUGCCACUAUCCCAGGAUGUCAAUGCUCACCCCAGAGCUCCCCGAAUCUGGUCCUACUGGGAUUUUUAUGGAGGCUUCACCAUAUAGGCCCUGGAACUGGGGUAUAGGCCAAGUUGAACCAGAUCCCUGAGGAGUGAGAUGGGGGCCUUAGAUGAUAUCAGAUAAUAACUACGUUGGGUGAACUCAGAACCUUCCAGUUCAGAGUCCAUCUACACACAAGUGCUUUCAACCCCGAAGAGCUGGUCAGAUGUGGAGCCUGCCCAGGUGAGGAGGCCCGGGUGUGUUGCAAGGAGCUGCUGGGGGCCUGUGGCCGGGACUGGCUGGACUUAGCAGUGGUAGGUAUCCUGAUGGUAGCUGGGAUGGACUGUCACCCUCCUCAGCACUCUGAUCCAGCACUCAAUGCCAUUUCCCCCCUUUUUCCCCCUUAAUGAUUUCACUGUAAUACUUGACGAAAGGGAGGAGGGAAGAAAACAGUGCUCCCCAGACUUCUUUCUCCCCCCUCAUGUUUUGUCUUUGAUCCUCUCUCCGGGCUCAUGUUGUGCCAGGCCCUUUUCUCGUCACCAGCUGUGUCUUCUCCCUGUCCCCACCCUCCCCAGUCAGGUAGGUGUCUUUGCCUGCAAAUCUCCUUCACUGAGGCCACGAAAGUGGCCAUUAGUUAACCCCCUCAGAAGCCUUGC